GAGGGGAGAGCUCAGUGGUAGAGCACGUGCUUAGCAGGCAUGAGGUCCUGGGUUCAAUCCCCAGUACCCCUG
rnacentral:tRNA from 1 species